GAAGGUUCCUGGCCACCACCGCAACGGUCAUAUCAUUCUUCAUAACGGAAUCCUCAACGGUAAGAGGACCAGUAGGGAAUAAGAAAGAUGGGCGCCAUAUGUUGUCUAGAGAAGGCGUGGCUGCCUCUUCAACAAGGUUCAAAUCAAAACGACGGUUAGAGGGGCUAGACAUUUUCAAAGGUGUUGAAGAAAGAAGAGGUCGGACAAAUCAAGAUCUUAGAAGUGCAAGAAGAUAGCUUCUAUUGGUGGAGAUUCAAGUGUGUUUUGGAACUUAAUGCCUGUGGAUGCAAAUUUCUUCCUCCUCGAUCUUGGACGAUGUUGCACCUACAAAACAAUUAACACCUUAGGUUAAGGCCAAGAGCCUCACGCGCCCACGAUGAAUGAGGGGGGCUUUGGCCGAAGAACAUCCGAUGCCAAAGUUAGAAUUUAGAGAGAAAGAGUGUUUAGAGAAUUUUGGGAUUUUUGCCAA
rnacentral:lncRNA from 1 species